rnacentral:lncRNA from 1 species
AUGGACAUCGUCUCCACCACCGACGCCUGUGGUAUCCAUCAAAUAGGACGAUGAUGUCGUUGUUGUCGGUGAGGCCUCGAUCAGGCCUACCAGUGCGGUUCAAGCCCUGCCUAUGCAGGGUGAGUUGGAUGUUGAUCGGGUCACGAUGCACGGAGACGAUGACCAAGGGAAGGCCCCAAUGCCCUCCACAUUCACUACUGAGCUUGGCAUUUUGGACUCUUCCGAAGAGGCAUAUAUUACGCUUGGAAUGCGCAUCAAAGCAACUAAUAUGGUGCUCCGAGAUCAUCGACUCAUCAAGGAAUUGAUGAAGAUGGUGAUGCUCCCCAUCGACUGAGAAGAAAGAAAGGCCCACCCAGUCGAGGAAAUCAUAUCGAGCUCCUAUGCGUCAUUGGUGUCGAUAAGUCUUGAUGUCCAUCU